rnacentral:tRNA from 1 species
GGGGACGUAGUUCAAUGGCAGAACAUCGCUUUUGCACAGCGAAGGUUAGGGGUUCAAUUCCCCUCGUCUCCA